GCUGCAAGCUAAGUGGUUGAAACUUGAACCAGUCAUAUAGGGAGUUUAAGCUCUAGCUUCAGCCUGAUGUUUUUAACCAACUAGGCCCGCCAACCCACAAGCAGAUAGAAAAUAAGCUGAUUCUAUAGGACAGAAAAAGGAAGAGGGCAGGGGUCAUAAGGGGAUGUAAGCAUAAGAUACCCAAGCCAGAAACAGCAACCCUUCCAGGUCCCCUUCCCCCACGUGGAAGCUUUCCUUUCACUUUCGCUUUAAUAAAUCUUGCCGCAGCACACUCUCUAAUCGAGCUGUAACACUCGCCACUGCCGUCCACGGCUUCAUUCCUUGAAGCCGUGAGACCACGAACCCUUCGAUUGAGAAGAACCUUCGGUCGGAAGAAGACUUCUCGUCUCAGUAACAAUAACAAGAAAAACAGCCUAGACUAGACGCACAUCAGGAAGACAGUUAAUCCCGUCAUGUAUUGACCCGGAAACAUCAUCUCAUUUGCCUAUAAGACAGAGAGAGAGAAUGAUAGAAAUGCUGGAAGAACGAGCCUUGGGGCGGUAUCGCCCAGAUCUGAAUCCACACAGCAGCUGCUUCGGUCCCUGUAACUCAAGGCUUCCUCUUAAUCCUCUGUCCUCCAUCAACACCUGGCUGAGCAGGAACAACUAUGACCUAGGACCAGGGCCUUCAGGAAUCUUCACCCCUAACUUGAACUUCAUAACACUGGAGAGAGAGACUGUGGAAUGGAAUGACUCUCCAGAGCUGCAGAUUGAAGGCAUAUUUUCAUCUGACUUUGAUCUCAAUGGCGGGAACACCUUCAUGGCCCCUUUAUAGCUGGUAUGUUUUCUUCUUAUGGACAAUGAGAAACAUGUAAUAAACUGUGUUUCCUUCUCGCUAGGAAACCCUGA
ensembl:lncRNA LINC00944 long intergenic non-protein coding RNA 944